rnacentral:lncRNA from 1 species
CGGCACAGGAAAACGUAUCUCAAAAUGCGGUUGGGAGAAACCUCAAUUCGAUUUGCGGCGAAGAGUAAACGUCGUUCGAACGAUGGCAAGAUUAAUCGCACCCCAAAAGGCGGUUAAUGAUGUUCAUUUCUAACCUGGACCGAGCUUCGUCUUCCUCCUUGCACCAGCUAUCCGAGCUUCCUCUUCCUCCUCGCACCAGCUAUCACCACCAACUAUCACCAACACAGUUCACCAACAAAGUUCACCACCAC